rnacentral:misc_RNA from 1 species
UUUAUAUAUUGCUUGAUUUAUCUGACAAUACAUAAUCAGGAGUAUGUAGUCUCCGGCGAGCUCACAUUGACGGUGCGGAACCUUUGCUAGACGCCGGUCCCACGUUAUCAAUGGCUGCAUGCAGCGUCUCGCCGAAGCAACAGUCAAUAGCCAAGGGUGGGAGUUCCUGCAGAACAGGAGAACUCGGUAAUGAUCCUUCCGCAGGUUCACCUACGGAAA